rnacentral:rRNA from 1 species
AUUGAACGCUGGCGGCAUGCCUUACACAUGCAAGUCGAACGGCAGCGCGGGAGCAAUCCUGGCGGCGAGUGGCGAACGGGUGAGUAAUACAUCGGAACGUGCCCAAUCGUGGGGGAUAACGCAGCGAAAGCUGUGCUAAUACCGCAUACGAUCUACGGAUGAAAGCAGGGGAUCGCAAGACCUUGCGCGAAUGGAGAGGC